GACAGAGGAUGCAAGCGUUAUCCGGAAUGAUUGGGCGUAAAGCGUCUGUAGGUGGCUUUUUAAGUCCGCCGUCAAAUCCCAGGGCUCAACCCUGGACAGGCGGUGGAAACUACCAAGCUGGAGUACGGUAGGGGCAGAGGGAAUUUCCGGUGGAGCGGUGAAAUGCGUAGAGAUCGGGAGGAACACCAGAGGCGAAAGCGGCGACCUGGACAGGCACUGACACUCAACUACGAAAGCGUGGGGAGCAAACAGG
rnacentral:rRNA from 1 species